rnacentral:rRNA from 1 species
UGGGGAAUAUUGGACAAUGGGGGAAACCCUGAUCCAGCGACGCCGCGUGUGUGAAGAAGGCCUGCGGGUUGUAAAGCACUUUUAGUGGGGACAAAAAGCCAUGGGCCAAUACCCUGUGGUCUUGAUUUAACCCAAAGAAAAAGCACCGGCUAACUCUGUGCCAGCAGCCGCGGUAAUACAGAGGGUGCGAGCGUUAAUCGGAAUUACUGGGCGUAAAGCGUGCGUAGACGGUUGUCUAAGUCGGAUGUGAAAUCCCCGGGCUCAACCUGGGAAUUGCAUUCGAGACUGAACAGCUAGGGUGCGGAAGAGGGAAGCGGAAUUUCCGGUGUAGCAGUGAAAUGCGUAGAUAUCGGAAGGAACAUCAGUGGCGAAAGCGGCUUCCUGGUCCAGCACCGACGUUCAGGCACGAAAGCGUGGGGAGCAAACAGGAUUAGAUACCCCGGUAGUCC